rnacentral:tRNA from 1 species
GAGCGUCCUGGAAGGCACGGCGCUUGAGCUUCCACAACAUGGUACAGAGCCUAUCAUGCGCGGGCUGUGCUACAGUUUCCUUUCUGCGCCGGAUGCGCAUAAGGCAGGCUGGUUAACCUGCGGCGGGCUGUAAACUCGCUCCCUCCGGGCUAGAGGUUCGAUUCCUUCAUCCGGCACUUACGGAAGGUGAGCU